rnacentral:lncRNA from 1 species
CGCGCCUGGCUCUCCUCCCCGGGGCGGGGCCUGCGGAGGCCGCCGGGGCGCAGCGCGCUGGGGAGCGGGUUGGGGGCUGCUAGGGCUGCGGGGCGGGAAGGAGGCGGCAGUGUGUGUGUGUGUGUGUGUGUGUGUGUGUGGGCAGGUGUGUGUGUGUGUGUACGUGUGUGCGCGCGCGCCCUGCAGCGGCCGGCCAGCCGGAGGGAAGACCCCGGCGGGAAGACUGCGUCCCGUCCGGCCUUCCCGGGCCUGUCACUUGGGCGGUGGCGUGGGAGCGGCGAGGCUGCUCGGGGGGCAGCCGGGUGGGCCCAGCUCUAGGGGAGAUUCGGGUCAGCCCCUGAGCCCAGCCUCCCGGCUGUGCCUGCUGGAAGCAGACGGAGGGAAGGCCGGGCGUCUUUGGCCCACCGCGCGGCCGCUCCCCUCCCGGGCCAGGCUGAACGGGCGGGCGCAGCCCAGAGGCCCGGGCUCUGCCACCGAUCCGCCUCCAUACUGACCCGAGCUGCGGCGCCUGCAAGAUUAAUGAAGCAUCCGCGAUUCGGUAGAGGCGGCACGGGGAGGAAAGACACAAGAUCGUGCUGCCCCCCUCUCCCCACCCUUCUCAGCCUCCUAGGACCUAAAGGCGUAGGCUGCGUCUGCUGGGCGCGUCCGGAGUGGUCCAGAGAGAUCGCCAUCCACCACUGCAUCCGUCCAGUUCUUUGUGGACCCUCACAGAAGCUCAAUCAAUUUCCCACCCUCUGGAAAAGGACACGCGAGGAAUGUCAGGCCCCCAGAGUGAGAACACCCAAGAAAACAAUAGGGGCAAAAGAUCCUCCCUGGGCCUCGCGGAUUAUGCACAAACCAGAUCAUUUCCCACAUUCGGCCAGGGUGAAGAUGGAAAAUGGAAAAGAACGCCAUCAGAGUGGUGACACUGACGAGAAAAGCCAAUUCAUAAUUUAGUUUAAUGAAAUGAGUUAGUAAUCAACCACUAAUGUCUAGGAAAUUGGCCUUUUUUGAAAACUGGUUUUCCCUUUCUCCACCCCUUUUUUUUUCAAAUUAAAAGACUAGUAUCCCACUGUUGUUGUUUUAAUUUUUAUUGUUUUCAGGGAUGGGGUCUGCUGCCAAGGCUGGAUUCGAACUCCUGAACCCAAGAGAUCCUCCUCAAGGGAUCUUCCCCAUCUCAGCCUCCCAAGUAGCUGGGACUACAGGCCAAUUCCACCGCACCCUGCCUAACAUCACAUUGUUCAGGAACCUCAACUUACAUUCCAUUUUUACAAAAUAUCCAUAUUCUGGUUCAUACUUCUUGGAGCCCAAAUUUUUUGUAGUCUAGCCUCUUGGAAAGGAGCGGUUAAGAAGGGAGGGUAGAUAAAUUGAGAUUUCAAUCAGGGGCAGCCAGCCCCAUCCCUUUCACCACUGGUGACUUGUUUCAUUUCUUCUUUCUUUCCUCAUCUGUAAAGGCAUUGAUAAUGAUCGUUCCUACCUCAUAAGCUUGUGAAAGUAAAAAGAAAAUAAAACGAGGUGGCAAUGCAUGUAAAACACUUUGCAUAGUGCCUGACACAUGGGUGAGAACUCAAUAAAUAGAAGCUAUUGUUUCAGACUUGAUUAUUUUAAACUCAAAUUUGGUAGAAUUUUAUUCUCUUUCCAUUCCUUCUGAAAAGUUAGGGAGGAGAAUGGACACAGCUGAUGGAUUUAUUCAAAUGUAGUCCACUCUUCCCUUGGGUUUUUACGCCCUGCCUGAAACUUUUGCCUGUGGUAAAAUGAAAUAAAUACAUAACUGAGGGGUGUGUGUGUG